AAUCUAUCGAGAGAUGUGGCGAGGGAAUUGGCCCCAUGACCCACACGACAACCUUUAAGACCUGCUUAAAGGUGCCAAAGCCAAACCAAGGUGGAGCGAUAGGCC
rnacentral:ncRNA from 2 species